rnacentral:rRNA from 1 species
UACGUAGGCAGCAAGCGUUGUUCGGAAUUACUGGGCGUAAAGGGUGUGCAGGCGGCUUGGUAAGUGUGGUGUGAAAUCUCCCGGCUUAACUGGGAGGGUGCGCUACAAACUGCCGGGCUAGAGUGUGGGAUGGGAGAGUGGAAUUCCUGGUGUAGCGGUGAAAUGCGCAGAUAUCAGGAAGAACACCCGUGGCUAAGGCGGCUCUCUAGUACGGUACUGACGCUGAGACGCGAAAGCGUGGGGAGCGAACAGG